rnacentral:lncRNA from 1 species
CCAGCAUCGCCUUCUUAGCUUCGGUGGUUUUCGCCCUAUCCUUCCAGGCCGCACGGAUGUCACCGAACCUCUGGUACCCGACUUCCAACUCAGACAUGGUGUGGACCAGCUGCAAAUAGAAGAUCGAUCGUCAGAAAAAUAAAAUGAUGAAAAUAAUGAUGGAGAGGAAAGAAAAAGAAGAACUCACCCCGAUCAUGGUUGGGU